UGAUUGGCUGCCUCAUGCAUGCUGUAAAGGAAACGGAAGAAAAUAUCAGCGGUACACACGCUAACGCUCUAAGGGACGGUGAGAUGAGCCAGGGAGAGAGCCUGUGUGCCCAGAAGACCAUCUCAUUGCUGAGCCCCCUGGGAAAGAUCCAAGUCAGCGCAUGUGAGAAUGGUGUGCACACCAUCCAGAUCAUAAUGGAUGUGGCACCUGCUGAAAGGACAGCCGAGCCCCCCCAGAGCUGUGUGGUCAGCGAGGGCCGAGCGGAAUCCAGCCCUGAGUUGCAGCGCUGCGUUGAAUGGCUCCAGGCCUACUUCUCAGAGCCGUGGACCGUAGGGAGUCUCCCCCUCCCUGCCUUUCACCACCCCGCCCUGCACGGAGAUGCAUUCACCAGCCGAGUGUUGCAAACUCUUCUGAGGGAUGUGAAAAUGGGAGAGACGGUGUCGUACAAGCGCCUGGCUGAGAUGGCGGGAAACCCAAGAGCCUCGCGAGCGGUGGGAGGAGCCAUGAGGAGGAACCCGCAUUAACACCGCGCAGCUCGCUGGGCCUGCUGAACACCAGCGAACAUGAAGGAGCAUGCCACACGCCCAGGCGGAGCCACAAACACUCUGGGCAGGGAGCCGCAGCAGGAGGCGGAGGACAGGGUGGAGCAUGAUCAAGUGGAGCAAUUAGGUGCUUCCGCAUGGAGAGUGCAAGGUACUGAUCAAUGACAACCAGCUCCCAGAUAGUGGCCGUGUAGGGGGGAUGGAUUCCCAGGCACCGCGUACCCAAAUAAACCCCCACGCCACAACAGACACUCGGGGAAAUUACAUUUGACGUGUCAUCAUGCAUCCCAAAAAGACAAAGGUCCGCUUUUGAAACGUGAGAACGCCAUUUUCUGCUAAAUAAAAGAUUGAUCUGUGUUAUUGAUCGUACAUGACAAGGCUCUCGCUAACAUUUUGCCCUCUUUCUUUUGUUAUUUCCUCCCCCCUCCUAUCUAUGCAUAGCGGCAGUCGAGUGUGUGUGUGUGUGUGUAUGUGUCAGAGUGUGCAUCUGUUAUGAGAGUGUGGCGUGGUGUGUCUGUGCGAGCACAAGUGUCUGUGUUUGUGCGUGUGUGUGCGUGUGUGUGUUUGUGCAUUGUAGCCCUGCCAGACCCCUCUGCUCAGUGUGAUGUAAAUUGUGUAUGUGUAAAAAGCACUCCAUAAUCAGGCCAUCCAUCAUCAGAGGCUGUCACUGGGCUCUCUCCGGGUGAUACAUCACGCUCUCCUGUCCUCUGCCUCAGCUGGGGCCUACCCCAGCCGCCAGGCAUGCUGGGAACACAGCACACCACACAUCCAGAAAAGGAACGGACUGGGGGCUGCCAAGGUGUAGGACUGGGUGUGCUGGGAUCCAGCGAAUGCCGUGCGUACAGUAAAUGUAUUUUGGAAGCUGGGAUUGGGAUUGGGAAAUUGGGAUUUUGUUUCGUUUUUUUUCUCCAAAAGUCCAACGGUGUGAUUGGGGGAGGACAUUGUGACGUAGAGGAUGCGGUGUCGAGGCACUCCACGGGUAAACACGCUGAUGUUUGAGGUGAACGCCGCAGGAGAGUCAACGGGACGCCUUCCUCGCGCAAACGGGGAUUAGGACGCGUCUCCCGGUCCUGUGAUUGGACGGCGGGCGCUGACGGAGGGGCAUAGCUCUGUCGACGCGGCGCCCGCUCAUCUAUCAUGGAGAUGAUCUUUGUAACAACCCCACGUAAUGAAAUUGGUGACACACACCGCCAUCUGCUAUUGAUUUCAUGCAAAUGCUUUUGACAGCUGAUGGAGACUUGCAUUAGUGCUAAACGGUGCUGUCAGUUGAUGGGUGGACAGUUCUGUAGUCAUACCAUGUACACAGCAGACAGACACUGGCCACAUCAAUAUCUGUACAAGGCUGAUCAUUAUAUAUACUGAGUACUGGGAUUCAUUCUGCACAAUAAAUAACAAUUGUUCUACAGUAUUCCGAGCAAACACGGUUGCCUAUUUGUUGUCAAUCACAUUUCGGGGAGCUUUAUUUUUUAUCUUUUAAACUUGGCUGUUGAGCCUGUCUCCUGAUCUGACUAUGUUUAAAAAAUGGAUGUCCCGCUUCAGCCUCUUUCAAACAUCUUCCUUAAACAUGUCAGAAGUCCAGGAGCUCUGUGAUGCCCUCGGACUCUAUAAAUGCCAGAACUAGUUUGGUCCUCUUCAUCCUCCCAACACAGCUCUGAGGAGAGAGGAGAGAGGUGGGGGGGUGGGGGGUGGUAGGGAGU